AGAAGUUAGUUUAAAAAAAACUAGUGAUUUCGGCUCACUUAAUUCUAACAAAGUUUAGAACUUCUCU
rnacentral:tRNA from 1 species